rnacentral:rRNA from 1 species
UAUCUCUGUAGAGUCUGCAUAUCAAUAAGCGGAGGAAAAGAAACUAACAAGGAUUCCCUUAGUAACGGCGAGUGAAGCGGGAAGAGCUCAAAUUUGAAAUCUUCAAGGUUCUACCUUGACGAAUUGUAGUUUAAAGAAGUGUUUUCUGUUAGAUGAGUAGCAAAAGUUCCUUGGAAUAGGGACAUCAUAGAGGGUGAGAAUCCCGUAUUUGGUUAUUCAUUCUAGCUUUGUGAUACACUUUCAAAGAGUCGGGUUGUUUGGGAAUGCAGUCCAAAAUGGGUGGUAAAUUUCAUCUAAAGCUAAAUAUUGGCGAGAGACCGAUAGCGAACAAGUACCGUGAGGGAAAGAUGAAAAGAACUUUGAAAAGAGAGUUAAACAGUACGUGAAAUUGUCAAAAGGGAAGCGUUUGACACCAGUGUUGUUUUUCCGAAAAUCAAUUACGAAUGGCUUGAUUUUGUGUUGUAUUGACCUUAUCAGCUUUCUUCACUUUUUUCGAGUCUUUCUUAAUGCACUUUUCGGUUAACAAGUCAACAUCAAUUUCUUUUGUUGUAAAAGAGUAUUCGGAAGGUGGCUUUCUUUUCGGAGAAAGUGUUUAUAGCCCUAUACUUCUACAAUCGGAGAGAUUGAGGUCUGCAGCGUAGAUCCUUCGGGGUUAGAUACACUUAUGCUAAGUUGUAGCUUUUCAUAGACAACUUGUUGACUAUGUUUAGUCAUGCGGCUUACUCGCUUGUGCUAUUUUACCUACGCUUAGGAUGUUGACUGAUAUGUAGUCGUA